rnacentral:rRNA from 1 species
GUGCUUAACACAUGCAAGUCGAACGAAGAGACAUGGGAGCUUGCUCCUAUGAAUCUUAGUGGCGAACGGGUGAGUAACGCGUAAUCAACCUGCCCUACAAUGGGGGACAACAGUUGGAAACGACUGCUAAUACCGCAUACGACCUACGGUUGGCAUCAAUGGUAGGUGAAAGGUGGCCUCUACAUGUAAGCUAUCGUUGUAGGAGGGGAUUGCGUCUGAUUAGCUAGUUGGAGGGGUAACAGCCCACCAAGGCGAUGAUCAGUAGCCGGUCUGAGGGGAUGAACGGCCACAUUGGGACUGAGACACGGCCCAAACUCCUACGGGAGGCAGCAGCGGGGAUCUUCCGCAAUGGACGAAAGUCUGACGGAACAACGCCGCGUGAGUGAUGACGGUCUUCGGAUUGUAA